GACGUAGGGCGCGAGCGUUGUCCGGAUUUAUUGGGCGUAAAGAGCUCGUAGGCGGCUUGUCGCGUCGUCCGUGAAAUCCCCAGGCUCAACCUGGGAACUGCGUCCGAUACUGGCAGGCUUGAAUCCGGGAGAGGGAUGUGGAAUUCCAGGUGUAGCGGUGAAAUGCGUAGAUAUCUGGAGGAACACCGGUGGCGAAGGCGGCAUCCUGGACCGGUAUUGACGCUGAGGCGCGAAAGCUAGGGGAGCAAACGGG
rnacentral:rRNA from 1 species